GGCCCUCUGAGUCAGUGUGAAUCCAGGGAACAGGGGACUUCUCUAAAGAGCUUUGCAACUCUGGGCCACAUAACCUCCAGAUCAGGGAGAUUAAUGAGGCCAUUGGAAAACAAAAAGCCAAUCAGUGCAUUUGUUAUGAAGAGGAUGGUCAUUGGAGAAGGGAGACAUCCUUGAUGCUUCCCAAGGAAGCCACAUGGUCAAGCAAGACCUGGGCCCAUCCUAGUGCAAACGGCUGAGAAGCUGAGAAGCUGCUCUCAAGUUCCUCCAGGACCCCCAGGGAAACUCAGCUGACUGUUAACAAUAGAUAGAAACAAAAGUCAGUUUGACUGCUUCAUCUUAGCAAAUAUAGUUAAAACCAAACACAGCUAUUCCUGGGCAUUUUAAAUAAUAAUGAUAAUAAUAAUAAUAGUUAAAUGUAACAUAAGGUAUACACCUUGUGUUAGCCCCAAGAAUAAGUAAGACUGGAGGCUCCAAAGAGAUUUUUAGGCAGGAAUGUCUGAUAACUAUCAAAAGAAACUAUCAAGAGGAACUGCCAGAGUAGUUUUAGUUUAAGGCCUACAGAUAUUCCUAACCUACACAGGUAGGCUUGCUGUUUGCCAAUAUGAUCAUGCAGCCCUACGUAACAGUAUUAAAGGUUUCUCUAUUAGACACAGAGGUCAUACUAGUAAAAGGAUUUUACAAGAUGAGAUGAGAUGACAUUAAAUUAUUUAACUAUAUCUUUUGGGGAAGGACAUCUGUAACAUUAAAAGCUGAAUGUUAUGUUUACAUUCUUGAUAACUGGGGAUAUUAAAGCCUGGAGAGGGAACUUCUAUUAUACAGUGACGUGUUCCAGCUGCUGCAACAUUUAUUCAGUACUCAUGGUUUUUGUUUCUCUCAUAGAAGCACUCAUCCCCAGAUGACUUUACAACCUGUUCUUCCCCAACCAGACUUCAAACCAAACUGAAUUCUAAAAGGGAACUCACGUCCCCAACAUCGUCGAGCCCCCUCCUCACGUUGCCCUCCUCUCAGUUUUGAAGCAGCCAGAAUGAGCCAUCGCCCCUUCUCCUUACAGCAAUAAGGAGUUCCUAAAAUUAGGGGGGAAUGAAGCCAGAAAUAGAUAGAUAGUCAGUGUAGAUAGGUAAAUCGAGUCAGGUUGGAUCUAGGAGGCCAAUUUUGAGUGAGUCUGGGAAGUUGAAGACUGUCCCUUGAGUGUUACUGUUUACUCUACCAAGACGUAGGGUCUGCCCAGAUAGACCCCCAACUGAGGGAACCAUGAUUGGUCCCCAAAUUUCCAGACAAAGAGGAGGAUGAGAAACUGAUGUGACUCCAUUUUUGAGAAUCCAGCCUCUACCUCAGAGCACAGCCUGUCCAAGGAAGGGGGUGUGAUCCUUGUCCUUGGAAAAACCCACGGAGCACUCCUAGGCACAUAUCCACCCUGCUGAGUUGUUUGUCUGCAAAUAACAGGAGAGAUCUGCAGUGCUAGGUGUCCCUGACUCAGUCAGGCUAGGUGAGGACCCAUAGCAACCCCCUAGCAACCACCAAUCAGCAUGAGACAGGGAAAAUACCUGGGAUGCCAGAUGACCCCCGAGUAGUUUAUGGUGGUAGAUAACAUGUUGGGAAACCAUGUAGUUUAGCACAUACACCCCUCGUGGCUUAAACCAAUCAGUUCAAAGGAAUCCCCCUCUUGUACUAAAC
rnacentral:lncRNA from 1 species